rnacentral:rRNA from 1 species
AUACGUAGGUGACAAGCGUUAUCCGGAUUUACUGGGCGUAAAGGGCGCGUAGGCGGCGCUUCAAGUCGUCUGUCAAAUGGGAGGGCUUAACCCUUUUUCGCAGACGAAACUGGAGAGCUUGAGAAGCAGAGAGGCAAACAGAAUUCCUGGUGUAGCGGGGAAAUGCGUAGAUAUCAGGAAGAAUACCAGUGGCGAAGGCGGUUUGCUGGCUGCAUACUGACGCUGAAGCGCGAAAGCCAGGGGAGCAAACGAGAUUAGAUACCCCGGUAGUCCUGGCAGUAAACGAUGUAUGCUGGGUGUGAGACUAGCGAUAGUUUCGUGCCGAAGUUAACGCGAUAAGCAUACCGCCUGGGGAGUACGGUCGCAAGAUUGAAACUCAAAGGAAUUGGCGGGG